rnacentral:rRNA from 1 species
CAGUAGCCGCGGGAAUACGAAGGGUGCAAGCGUUAAUCGGAAUUACUGGGCGUAAAGCGUGCGUAGGCGGUGAGUUAAGUCUGCUGUGAAAUCCCCGGGCUCAACCUGGGAAUGGCAGUGGAUACUGGCUCGCUAGAGUGUGUCAGAGGAUGGUGGAAUUCCCGGUGUAGCGGUGAAAUUCGUAGAUAUUCGCAAGAACACCAGUGGCGAAGGCGGCUCACUGGCCCGAUACUGACGCUGAGGCACGAAAGCGUGGGGAGCAAACAGGAUUAGAGACCCGAGUAGUCCCUGUCUCUUAUCC